AUUGAACGCUGGCGGCAGGCCUAACACAUGCAAGUCGAGCGGGUGAAGCGAGCUUGCUCCUGGAUUCAGCGGCGGACGGGUGAGUAAUGCCUAGGAAUCUGCCUGGUAGUGGGGGAUAACGUCCGGAAACGGGCGCUAAUACCGCAUACGUCCUGAGGGAGAAAGUGGGGGAUCUUCGGACCUCACGCUAUCAGAUGAGCCUAGGUCGGAUUAGCUAGUUGGUGGGGUAAAGGCCUACCAAGGCGACGAUCCGUAACUGGUCUGAGAGGAUGAUCAGUCACACUGGAACUGAGACACGGUCCAGACUCCUACGGGAGGCAGCAGUGGGGAAUAUUGGACAAUGGGCGAAAGCCUGAUCCAGCCAUGCCGCGUGUGUGAAGAAGGUCUUCGGAUUGUAAAGCACUUUAAGUUGGGAGGAAGGGCAGUAAGUUAAUACCUUGCUGUUUUGACGUUACCAACAGAAUAAGCACCGGCUAACUUCGUG
rnacentral:rRNA from 1 species